rnacentral:tRNA from 1 species
ACCUGGGUGGCUCAGUGGUUGAGCAUCUGUCUUUGGCUUAGAUCAUCAUUAUGGGGUCCCAGGAUCAAGUCCUGCCUCAGGCU